GUGGGGAAUAUUGGACAAUGGGCGCAAGCCUGAUCCAGCAAUGCCGCGUGGGUGAAGAAGGUCUUCGGAUCGUAAAGCCCUUUCGACAGGGACGAUGAUGACGGUACCUAUAGAAGAAGCACCGGCUAACUUCGUGCCAGCAGCCGCGGUAAUACGAAGGGGGCUAGCGUUACUCGGAAUUACUGGGCGUAUAGGGCGCGUAGGCGGCACUGUUAGUCAGGCGUGAAAUUCUUGGGCUUAACCUGGGAACUGCGCUUGAUACUGCAGGGCUUGAGGCCGAGAGAGGGUGGUGGAAUUCCAAGUGUAGAGGUGAAAUUCGUAGAUAUUGGGAAGAACACCGGUGGCGAAGGCGACCACCUGGCUCAUUACUGACGCUGAGGCGCGAAAGCGUGGGGAGCAAACAGGAUUAGAAACCCCGGUAGUCC
rnacentral:rRNA from 1 species